GGCACUCUGUAACAUCUCUCCUGAUCUUCCCAAGAGUCAGUGUAAAACCUUGGAGACUACUCUGGGGACAGGCUUUUCAACUGAUGAGUAAGAAGAAAGGAUCGUUGCACUGCGCUCAGCAACCCAUGGUUUCCUGCCCUCACCAACAAAGCCGUCCAGAAGAGUGUGCUGAGGUGCAGGAUGGGAAGCGGCAGCUUUUGAGUAGGACAGUCACACAUAUACAUGACGAGGAGGCUGCUGAAACAAGGAACAUGCUCCUGUUU